GAUGAACGCUGGCGGCGUGCCUAAUACAUGCAAGUCGAGCGAACGGACGAGAAGCUUGCUUCUCUGAUGCUAGCGGCGGACGGGUGAGUAACACGUGGAUAACCUACCUAUAAGACUGGGAUAACUUCGGGAAACCGGAGCUAAUACCGGAUGAUAUUUUGAACCGCAUGGUUCAAAAGUGAAAGACGGUCUUGCUGUCACUUAUAGAUGGAUCCGCGCUGCAUUAGCUAUUUGGUAAGGUAACGGCUUACCAAGGCAACGAUGCAUAGCCGACCUGAGAGGGUGAUCGGCCACACUGGAACUGAGACACGGUCCAGACUCCUACGGGAGGCAGCAGUAGGGAAUCUUCCGCAAUGGGCGAAAGCCUGACGGAGCAACGCCGCGUGAGUGAUGAAGGUCUUCGGAUCGUAAAACCCUGUUAUUAGGGAAGAACAUAUGUGUAAGUAACUGUGCACAUCUUGACGGUACCUAAUCAGAAAGCCACGGCUAACUACGUG
rnacentral:rRNA from 1 species